rnacentral:rRNA from 1 species
ACCAAGAAAUUUAAAACUUUCAACAACGGAUCUCUUGGUUCUCGCAUCGAUGAAGAACGCAGCAAAGCGCGAUAGGUAAUGCGAAUUGCACACGUGAGUCAUUGAAUCUUUGAACGCACAUUGCGCCAUUAGGUUCUCCUAAUGGCAUGCUUGUUGGAGCGCCGAUCUUUCUCUCAUACUACUUCAUUGUAGUACGAGGUUCUGCUCCUUUUAGGAGUCAAAAGAAUGGAAGUGCACACGUUAGAUAACUCUGUGCAGUUACUUACAAUCUUUUGGCCUCCAAUCAAGCAAGGCUACCCGCUGAACUUAAGCAUAUCAAUAAGCGGAGGAAAAGAAACCAACAGGGAUUGCCUUAGUAGCGGCGAGUGAACAGGCAAGAGCUCAGAUUUGAAAGCCCUCGGGCAUUGUAUUCUGAAGCCUUGGUCUUGAGAAUCGGUGUUUAAGUCUUCUGGAAAGGAGCGCCAUGGAGGGUGAUAGCCCCGUACGACACCACUCUCAUUGUAGGACUUUGGCAUGGAGUCGAGUUGUUUGGGAAUGCAGCUCAAAUGGGUGGUAUGCUCCAUCUAAAGCUAAAUAUCUGCGAGAGACCGAUAGCGAACAAGUACUGUGAAGGAAAGAUGAAAAGAACUUUGAAAAGAGAGUGAAAAAGUACGUGAAAUUGUUGAAAUGGAAGGAUAGGCCGCUAACCAUGUAGGGUCGUGUUCGAGGGGAAGAUAAAAGCUGAAGAAUGUAGCUCCUCGGAGUGUUAUAGCUUCAGUCCAUAUUCCCUCUCGAGCGCGAGGAUUGAAGACUCUGCUAAAUGGUGGUCUAUCACCCGUCUUGAAACACGGACCAAGGAGUCCAUUGCUUGCGCGAGUAUUUGGGUGGCAAACCCAUAUGCGAAGUGAAAGCGAACGAUUCCAACCUUCGGGGGCAGAAUCGGCCGACUGUUCAUAGGAACAGAUUGAGUGGAGCGCAAGUGAUGGGACCCGAAAGAUGGUGAACUAUGCCUGAAUAGGGUGAAGCCAGAGGAAACUCUGGUGGAGGCUCGCAGCGGUUCUGACGUGCAAAUCGAUCGUCAAAUUUGGGUAUAGGGGCGAAAGACUAAUCGAACCAUCUAGUAGCUGGUUCCUGC